rnacentral:lncRNA from 1 species
GCUAUUCUGAUGCUUGUAAGACAAGCAAAACAUUAUUGAACCUGAGUGAUCAACGGGAAAAGUAAAGACAGAGAUACUGCACAGCCUUAUUGUUGCUGACGGCACAAUAAAACUGUGAAAACUAUUACAAUGGAAUGCUGACUAUCCCACACCACUCUUCUUAUCAAAACUGAUCUUCAAGUUGUGUUUUGAUGAGAGCUCAGAUGAUAGCAGAGAGCUGAAAACAGCUUCAUCAGCCUCAUUCUAAUCCCCCCUUGAGUUGGAUGACACUUGUGCCUAGCCAUUGGCUGAGAUGAAGAGGUGACUAGGAAAUUUAUUUGGGCUAAAAUCAAAACAACUGUAGUUUCAGAGAGAUAAUUAUACAUUACUAUCACAGAAGAGAAGAAUGGCAGCUGGACCAGCAAGCUGAGAACUCACACACUGAUCCACAGACAGGAGACAGAGAGCAAUCUGGUAAUAGCAUUAGACUUUGGAAACCUCAAAGCCUACCGCAAGUGGCAUACUUCCUCCACCAAGUCCUAUCCUAAAUCUACA